CUGAAGCUCCAUGCACUACUUCCUCUGUCCUGAUGGUGGGGAGUCUCAGAUGAAUAUCCCUGCCUCAUCUCCAGCUGCAUUUCAGGUGCCCCAGAAGCACACGUGGCCCACGGCUGCUGUCUCGGACAACCCAGAUGGAAGAACAUUUCUAUCAUCACCUGGACACCUGCCCACUUGUGCCACCCAGGCUGCAGUGCCCAGCCAGCCAGUGUUCUGGUGAGCCAAUAAGCAUCACGUUGCUAGAAUUAUUUCCUGGAGAAAUACACAUAUUAGACAGAAAUAGCCAUCGAAGCCCAGCUUCCGGAGAAGUGUCAACCAGGGGACGUCACUAAUGUGGCCACCAGAAUUUCCACGUAAGAGAAAACGUGAUCCUUGUUCCAUGGGUCCUCUGCAUCUCCUAUGGGUAUGAUUCCACUCUGCUGGAGGAAUGGCUGGUCCAGAUGAUUGUUCACACAGGGCUACGAGACAGCCAGGCUGAAAGCAGGGGUAAAGGACCUCCCGUGGGGCCUCCCAGCUGGCACACCGAGAAGCCAGAUCCGAACCCGGGGGUAAGACCCCAGAGUGCAUGUCGGCUUGUGGCAGUUAUGAACAAAGCUGCUGAAAACACU